GAGUUUGAUCUUGGCUCAGAUUGAACGCUGGCGGCAUGCCUUACACAUGCAAGUCGAACGGCAGCAUGAUCUAGCUUGCUAGAUUGGUGGCGAGUGGCGAACGGGUGAGUAAUACAUCGGAACGUGCCCUGUAGUGGGGGAUAACUAGUCGAAAGAUUAGCUAAUACCGCAUACGACCUGAGGGUGAAAGUGGGGGACCGCAAGGCCUCAUGCUAUAGGAGCGGCCGAUGUCUGAUUAGCUAGUUGGUGGGGUAAAGGCCCACCAAGGCGACGAUCAGUAGCUGGUCUGAGAGGACGAUCAGCCACACUGGGACUGAGACACGGCCCAGACUCCUACGGGAGGCAGCAGUGGGGAAUUUUGGACAAUGGGCGAAAGCCUGAUCCAGCAAUGCCGCGUGUGUGAAGAAGGCCUCGGUUGUAAG
rnacentral:rRNA from 1 species